GACGAACGCUGGCGGCGUGCCUAACACAUGCAAGUCGAACGGGGAGUUACUUGUAACUCCUAGUGGCGAACGGGUGAGUAACGCGUAGACAACCUGCCUCUAAAUUGGGGACAACACCGCGAAAGUGGUGCUAAUACCGAAUGUGGUAACUUGAUCGCAUGAUCGAGUUAAGAAAGAUGGCCUCUAUUUAUAAGCUAUCGAUUAGAGAUGGGUCUGCGUCUGAUUAGCUAGUUGGUGAGGUAAUGGCUCACCAAGGCGACGAUCAGUAGCCGGUCUGAGAGGAUGAACGGCAACACUGGGACUGAGACACGGCCCAGACUCCUACGGGAGGCAGCAGUGGGGAAUCUUCCGCAAUGGACGAAAGUCUGACGGAGCAACGCCGCGUGAGUGAAGAAGGUCUUCGGAUUGUAAAGCUCUGUCGUUUGGGACGAACGUGCUUUGUGUGAAUAAUGCAGAGUAAUGACGGUACCAAAGGAGGAAGCCACGGCUAACUACGUGCCAGCCGCCGCAGUAA
rnacentral:rRNA from 1 species